rnacentral:rRNA from 1 species
GACCCUGCGGAAGGAUCAUUG